GUAGGUGAACCUGCGGAAGGAUCAUUACUGAGUUCAUGCCCUAACGGGUAGAUCUCCCACCCUUGAAUAUAUAAACCUUUGUUGCUUUGGCGGGCCGCUUCGGCUACCGGCUUCGGCUGGUGAGUGCCCGCCAGAGAACCCAAAACUCUGAAUUACAGUGUCGUCUGAGUACUAUAAAAUAGUUAAAACUUUCAACAACGGAUCUCUUGGUUCUGGCAUCGAUGAAGAACGCAGCAUCUGACUGACUUCG
rnacentral:misc_RNA from 1 species